GUUGUCUCCGUUAUUCAAAAGGACACCUUAUCAGCCGGGGGCGACUCGUAUUAGCCUUCUCCACUGUGCGCUCCACACAAUGAUGUUCUACACUGUUCCACAUUAACUCUGGUGUCUAUUUCAGCAGCUCUCUAUCCAUUUAUUGAUGCAUGUCUUCCAUCGAUCCCGCCAUUGAUUCGUCAUGCAAUCCAUUACCCAUCUGUCUGUUUCAGCUGGCUUUUAAAUGAUCCAUCAGAUUGAGCUAUUAAGCAGAGUAGUGGAGAAGUCCAAAGGUUGGUGAUACAUUCAGCGAGAGAGGGGUGCUCUGUGUGUGUGUGUGUGUGUGUGUGUGUGUGUCUUGGGUAUUGGUACAUUGGAAUUAUUUCAGGCCUUUCAAAGUGUGCUGUGAUUUGAUAUUUAACCAAUUGUGAUAGUGAGUGUGGACCUUAUGAACAGAACUCAUUACAGAGGAAUAUACAGGGCUUGAUGUUGAAGAUAAAUAAAUUGAAACUAUGGUGAGCCUUUAAUCUGCCUGUAAGAACACACUUUCAGGAAACAAGAAAAUGCCACCAGCCAAACGGAGACGUGGGGGGCUGAGACGGCGGCUGUUCCAGAUAGAGAUGCGAGAUGGAUUCAUAUAUAUUCAUGAAUUCAGUCAGAAAAGUCAAACGGAAGCAGUAUGAUAAUCUUGCAGUAAUUGCAUUUUUCCCUCCAACUGUUUUUGGCAGAGCAGAGAGCCACGUUCAGACACGCGGGAUGGGGAAUACAGUCUCGAGGAGCCGUGAACAGUGGAUACCCUCUGACCCCCGUACCUAAGAUUCAUUUGAUGUCCUGACCUCUGACUGAAGAACUUUUUAAUUUUCUGACUGUGCACUCUUUCUCUUCCGGGCCCCAGGAAAUGCCUUACAAAAAAAAAAAAAAAAAAGAAACAUUCAAAGGACCAUAUUUCAAACUAUCAAGCUUUUUUUUCUCUCCAUACAUGUCAGUCUGCUGUCAGCAGCCGUCUGAAAAGUGCUGACAUUGCUGCCCUCCUGUCCGGCAGCCCGCUCCCUCUGUGUGAACUUGGAUUUAGCUCAAGGGUAUAGCCACCCUGCUAAUGUGAUGUAGCUCCGAGAAGGAAACAAAUUGGCCUGACGUCUCAUACGCUGCCUUGUCUUGAUUGUGUGAUGGCUUCUACUGCUAAUGUGUUACGAUGGGUAGACCUGCGCAGGGAGGGAGACGGGUUUGUGUGUGUGUGUGUGUGUGUGUGUGUGUGUUACAUGGAG
ensembl:lncRNA